rnacentral:rRNA from 1 species
UACGGGGGGGGCAAGCGUUGUUCGGAAUUACUGGGCGUAAAGGGCUCGUAGGCGGCCAACUAAGUCGGAUGUGAAAUCCCCAGGCUUAACCUGGGAACUGCAUCCGAUACUGGAUGGCUUGAAUCCGGGAGAGGGAUGCAGAAUUCCAGGUGUAGCGGUGAAAUGCGUAGAUAUCGAGAGGAACACCAGUGGCGAAGGCGAGUCUCUGGACGACUCCUGACACUGAGGCACGAAAGCUGGGGGAGCAAACAGG